CUUUUACAAAAAUCUUCUCCUCUGAAACUACUGGGCCAAUUUUUACCAAACUUGGCCACAAUCAUCAUUGGGGUAUGUAGUUUAAAAAUUGUGUCCCGUGACCUGGCCAACUCACCAAGAUGGCCGCCAUGGCUAAAAAUAGAACAUAGGGGUGAAAUGAAGAUUUUGGCUUAUAACUCUGAAACCGCAGCCUGUAGAGCAAAUCUGACAUCGGGUAAAAUUGUUUAUCAAGUCAAGAUCUAUCUGCCCUGAAAUUUUCAGAUGAAUCUGACAACCUGUUGUUGGGUUGCUGCCCCUGAAUUGGUAAUUUUAAGGAAAUUUUGCUGUUUUUGGUUAUUAUCUUGAAUAUUAUUAUAGAUAGAGAUAAACUGUAAACAUCAAUAAUGUUAAGCAAAGAAGAUUUACAAAUAAGUCAACAUGAUGGAAAUGGUCAAUUGACCCCUAAGGAGUUAUUGUCCUUUAUAGUCAAUUUUUAACAAUUUUCAUAAAAUUUGUAAAUUUUAACUAACAUUUUCCACUGAAACUACUGGGCCAAGUUCAUUAUAGAUAGAGAUAAUUGUAAGUAGCAAGAAUGUUCAGUAAAGUAAGAUGUACAAACACAUCACCAUCACCAAAACACAAUUUUGUCAUGAAUCCAUCUGCUUCCUUUGUUUAAUAUUCACAUAGACCAAGGUGAGCGACACAGGCUCUUUAGAGCCUCUAGUUUUUUUUAGCAUAAAUUAUCUCCCUUUGCCUUCUUUUGAACUUUUUAGAUAUCAAAUGCUGUGGGUUUUUUGUGGGGCAUUUGAUUUACUUUUCAACAUGCACAAUGUCUGCUAUUCGAGCCCCUUAUUGGUAUUACAAAUAUACUUCUGUUUGGGUGACAUUAAAUUAAAGUUUUAUGAUUACCUUUUUCUUCCCCUAAAUUAAAAUAUAAGUAUCCUUAAAAACUUUAAGACCCUAAAUUGUAAUGUGUGUUUAUAAUGUUAUAUUUGGUGCAGGUUGUCUGAACAUUUAUAAUAUAUUUACUUCAAACAUUUUAUAUUUAUAUUUAUACUGUAAGAAUAUCUAUGAGUAUUGUUGCAUGUAAAAUAUUAUACUUGAAGAGCUUGCUAGAGCAAUUCACAUUUAACAAGGGAUGGUAUAAAAGUGUUUCUGCAAUAUCCCUUGUUUAUUUCUUUCCAUAUCAGUAUGUUUUUCAUUUUAUCAUGUUAAUAUGACCUAAGGUUUUGUUUAAACCUUAAUUUGUAUCUUCCUUUAGUGGAUUUGUGACAUUUGGAACUCGGUAAAUUACCAAUGCCUUCUAAAAACUAAGCUACUUAAAUCUUAAUUUUGUUUUAUUUAGAGAUAUUACAUUAAAAUGUAUGUGGGAGUGUAGGAACGGAAGUUUAAUUGUUGACUGUGGGACAUGGGUCUUUUUUUAGUAUGUGUCUAUUAGGCCACAGUUUUUUAAUUUGUUGGUUUACGGAUUUUCCCUAUGAAAAAGUCGGGUCGGUCAGUCAGAAAAAAAAAUCUUUCAAGCAGAAAAUAUGCACAAAAAAAAUGCAUUUCGUCUAAUAAUUUCCCGUGAAAAGGGGGGUUGUGUCAAUGGACAAAGACGAAAUGAAAUCGUCAUUUCAUAAACAAGAAAACAAAAAAAGAUCCGUGUAGCUCUUAAUCAAGUUCAGGAAGCUUGGUGAAUAUUAAUCUUCAAGCACGGAAACUGAUAUAGAAAAAAAUGCAAAAAGUCAUACGCAAAAUAAGUUUCAAAUUAACACACGUUUCAAAAACGUGAUAGACUCAUCCACUGGAAAAACGAGGAUAUUGGGUUUGUCAGCUGUCAUUCCCGUUUUUUAUAUCCAAAUGGACGAAUUGUUUUUAUUAUCAAUGACACAAGAAAAUUCCAAAUUAUUUGUUUAUACUUAGUAUUUUAACUUGACGUCUUCCACGUUUGGACAAGUUCGUUUUCAAUUUUUCUAUGGGAUGAUGCAUAUUACAGAAUGAUGACAAAUACAGGAAACGAACUUAUUGUUUAAUGGGUUUUAAACACAGGUUUCGUUUCGCAAAAUUAUUUGCUCAAACAACUUUUCAAGGUCAGUUAUGAUUGAUUUGUCUAUAUUUAGAUAUGUAAAUUGGAAGUUGUUUUUUUUUUCACAACAGAAAUAUUAUCAAUUCUAUAAGUAUUUAAUGCAUUUCAUUUCAUAUAAAAAAAAAAGAAUAUUUUUUUUAUUUUUUCAGGGACAAUGUAUUUGUUAGGGUCGGCGGGAAUAAAAAAGCAUGAGAAGUCAAAUUUUUUUUUCAUUCUGCAAAUCGGCAAAAUCGGGUCAGCGGAUCCGUAAACCAACAAAUUAAAAAACUCUGGCCUUACUGUUAUGCAAAAUUAUCUAAAAAUGGUUCUUGGUUAUGGGGAUAUUUUAAAAGUCCCUUCCUACCCUCCCACAUACAUUUUAAAAGAAUAGUCCUUGGCUAAUUAUUGUUUUGUUUUAUAGAAAACUAUUGUUCUUCCAAACAUGGACGAUCAAGUUCUUCCUACAUUUGUACAGUAUCUACCUAAAGGUUCACAUGGUAAUGAAUAUACAGCAGAAGUUGAUCAGAAACAUUCUUAAACUUACAAAAAUGUUGACCAUCAAUAAUAUUGAUAGCAAAAACACAUGGUACAACAAUGAUAUAUCCAUCAGUUUACAAAUGCUUUUAUAUGUUUUAUUCCCCACCUACGAUAGUAGAGGGGCAUUAUGUUUUCUUGUCUGUGCAUACAUUAGUUCUUACAUUCGUUUGUCUGUUUGUUUGUUUGUCUGUCCCACUUCAGAUUAAAGUUUUUUGUUAAAGUAGUUUUUGAUGAAGUUGAAGUCAAAUCAACUUGAAAGUUGACACUUAGUACACAUGUUCUCUAUAAUAUGAUCUUUCUAAAUUUAAUGCCAAACUAUGGUUUUUACCCCAAUUGCAGGGUCCACACAGUACAUAGAAAAUGAUAUUGCAAGAGGGGGUAUCUGUUUACUGGGGACACUUUAUAGAAAUUUUAUGUAUGAUUGUUGGAAAUUUUUUAAAAAGUAAAUAAAAACUGUCACAGUUAAACUUGUCUCAUGCCAACCUUAAAAAUAUUUCUGUACUACUGACAACUGCAGAAAAGCAGUUUAUGACAUAAGUGUCCAAUGGGUUAAUUUGUUAUGCCUCAGUCUUUAAGUGGCCGGUGAAUAUAUUUUAAGUUACAUUUGAUAUUAAUGUUGAAGGCAUGUAAUCCACUAUAUCAUAUAGUUUUACUCAUGUCAAUACUUUCAUAAUUCAAAACUACAGUAAUUGCUAAGAUAUAAAUUGUAUCUGCAGAUAUUGAGCUGAUUUGUUGUUUGUAGUUACCGAUCAAUUUUCGUUUCAGAUGAUUUAUAUAAUUAGUCAUUUAUAGUCUGCAUUUGUGUAUAAUCCUAUAAAAAAUCAUUAGAUUCCACACAUGAACUUUGAAAUAAUACAAUAAUGAAAAAAGUCUUCAGGUACUUUAGUUCCAUAUGAUUUGCACCCUUCUACCAAUUAUAUGUCUUUAGUAUAAAAAAAAGUGUGUAUAAUACAUUUUCUUGAAAUGUCUAUUUAGAAAAAAGUAAUCUUUUUCAAGGAAAAGUAAUAUAUGUACAAAACAGUCUGCAUUUUCAAACAAACAUUUAGUAUUUACUGCAAUAAAUUAAUACAGCUGGAAGGUGCGUUUAUGAGAAAUAUUUUGUUAAGAGUAACUUUUAUUUGUUAUACUUUUGUGAAUAUAAGUUGUAUAUUUCUUUGUUCUGUUUAAAUUAUUUUGUUUGUCUUAUAUUCAUGGUGUAUAUUUCUAUAUUUAAAUUUAUAUUUAAAUUAUUUUGUUUGUUUUAUAUUCAUGGAAGUGAAUUUUUGUUGAUUUUAUAUUUAUGAUAGAUAAUUAUCAAUCAAAGUUAUUUUUCUUAUAUUUUUUUUUAUUUCAUUACAUGGUAACAGGUAGGUGUAAUGUUAUAGUUAAGAAAUAUAUAUAUAUAUACUUAAACAUUG
rnacentral:lncRNA from 1 species